GAUGAUAAUUAUAUUGUCACUUACAUUGAUAUUAUCAUCCAAUUCUGGUUUCUUUGAUUUUGGGAUUCUUCAUAAUUAGCAUUAUACUCGCUACAUAUUAUUGAGCAUGUAGCAAUUUUAUAUACAUUGUUUAUACUAUGUGAUUUAUGUAUUACUUUAUAACUAUUGACAUGUACAUAUUAUUAUGUACUAGGUGGUUGCAGCCUAGGCAGUCUGUUUAUUCAAAGGUAUCAGAUCUUGAAUUACCUGAUAAGGAGUAGAUCCCAAUGUGGCUUAAUUAACAGUGAGGACAAGACCAAGAGAAACAAGUUGUGCUGUUUGUUCAUGAAAUAAAUGUUGAAGUCAGAGUUUAAUGAAAGGGUAAAACUGGUACCGAAUCACCAGACAUUACUAAUAAUGAGAGCUGGUAUAGAUAUGAUAACUGGUGUAUGUAAGCUAACUUAGAAGAGAUGAUUCAUUCAACAACACUAGGGACUAAUCAUGUCUAUCAGUCUAUAUCUAUGAUGAUAUAUACACAAUGGAGUACACUAUUUUUGUAAUGGACUGAUGUAUUUUAUGCACUACAUGGUAUUUUUUAUGUAUCACUAUAUGUAAUUGGUAGACAAAACUGCUAAUUAAAAUUUAUUGUUUUGUCUAUAGUUCUGCAAAUUUACAGUCUCAAAAUAUCCUAUAAAAUAACUGCUUUGGCCAAAUGCCAAUUGUUAUUAAUGCAAA